GAUGUUCUGAUGCACACACGAACCAAAGACUUCAUUGUAGAAGGCAGGUUCUUUUACUGGCCAAAUUGAGUUCUGGCCAGUAAAAAAGUUCAGACAGGGUUUCACCGUGUUGGCCAGGAUGGUCUCAAUUUCCUGACCUCGUGAUCCACCCGCCUCGGCCUCCCAAAGUGCUGGGAUUACAGUCGUGAGCCACUGUUCCCGGCCAGAAUUUCUUAGAAGAAGAUGAACAUGGAUCAUUUCCACAUAUACAAAAUAAAAAUAAAAUUCACUAUGCA